ensembl:snRNA U6 U6 spliceosomal RNA
GUACUCACUUUGGCAGCACAUUUGCUAAAAUUGGAAUGAUACAGAAGAUUAGCACAGCCCCUGUGCGAGGUUCACAUGCAAAAGACCAGUAUGGAGCCUGGACAGA